CCUACGGGUGGCUGCAGUCGAGAAUCUUCGGCAAUGGGCGCAAGCCUGACCGAGCGACGCCGCGUGCGGGAUGAAGGCCUUCGGGUUGUAAACCGCUGUCAGUGGGGAGGAAAUGCCUAAGGGUUCUCUCUUAGGUUUGACCUAUCCGCAGAGGAAGUCCGGGCUAAGUUCGUGCCAGCAGCCGCGGUAAUACGAACCGGACGAACGUUAUUCGGAAUCAUUGGGCUUAAAGGGUGCGUAGGCGGCCGCGUAAGUCGGGUGUGAAAUCCCUCGGCUCAACCGAGGAAUUGCGCCCGAUACUGCGUGGCUAGAGGGAGACAGAGGCGAGCGGAACUGAUGGUGGAGCGGUGAAAUGCGUUGAUAUCAUCAGGAACACCGGUGGCGAAGGCGGCUCGCUGGGUCUCUUCUGACGCUCAGGCACGAAAGCUAGGGUAGCGAAC
rnacentral:rRNA from 1 species